UACGUAGGGGGCGAGCGUUGUCCGGAAUUAUUGGGCGUAAAGAGCGUGUAGGCGGUUCGGUAAGUCUGCUGUGAAAUCCGGGGGCUCAACCCUGGGCGUGCAGCGGAUACUGCCGGGCUAGAGGGUGGUAGAGGCGCGUGGAAUUCCGAGUGUAGCGGUGAAAUGCGCAGAUAUCCGGAGGAACACCAGUGGCGAAGGCGGCUCGCUGGGCCGCUACUGACGCUGAGACGCGAAAGCGUGGGGAGCGAACAGG
rnacentral:rRNA from 1 species